rnacentral:sRNA from 1 species
UCAGAUCUCCAUCGUUUCUUACGGUAAAGAAAAACCUGCAGUACUGGGUCACGACGAAGCGGCUUACGCUAAAAAACCGUCGCGCCGUACUGGUUUACUAAGAGAAUCGCAUGAACAGUAACUUCAGACAUCACCUGUUG